rnacentral:ribozyme from 2 species
CGAUUAACUCCGCCUGUAGCUCCUCCAGAGGCUACUGCCGAUCUCAAGCCCGGAUAAAGGAGAAGGGUUUG